UGUAAGCGUAUACCAAAGUUGUUGCAGUUAAAACGCUCGUAGUCGGACUUUGGCAGUUCCGGAUGUGUGCACGUCGUGUGCGCACUUCGCGGGGAUUGCUUUUGUGGUCUUGCGUAGGAUGAGGCACUUUUAUUAGUGAACGUCCUCACGCAACCACUUUUUACUGUGAGAAAAUCAGAGUGCUCAAAGCAGGCAUUUGCCGUGAAUGUAUUAGCAUGGAAUAAUAGAAUAGGACUUGGUUCUAUUUUGUUGGUUUGUUGGGACUGAGUAAUGAUUAAGAGGGACAGUUGGGGGCAUUUGUAUUUCGGUGCUAGAGGUGAAAUUCUUAGAUUACCGAAAGACAAACUGCUGCGAAAGCGUCUGCCAAGGAUGUUCUCAUUGA
rnacentral:rRNA from 1 species